AGAAGUGAUAGAUGGAAUGGAGAUAAGAAGUGGAAAUUAGUGUCCUUUUGGAGAUACUUGCUUUUGCUGAGCCCAUAGACAUAUUAACUCCUCCAAGGUCCUGGAGGAAGUACUGGACACACCUCAAGGGACUACACAGGAGAUGAAGGCAGAGUGAAGACGCAGAGGCAGGACCUGGGCACAUGCCUUUAUUAAGGUACCCAGCAAGAAGGAAAGACAAGGAAGUAAAAAGAACUCUAAAAACUACCAACAAUUUUAAUUUGGAUAUCUUCAAUGUAAUUAACACAGGAUGCCUAUUCCAGAUAUAAACAGAGAGAUGAUUGCCUGACCAAAGUUCUGGAAAGCAGAUGUGUUGCUCGAAGGGUACAAAAUGUGGAUGUGUAUUGUGCUACCAGGCUGUCAAAGAUGAAGAGAUCAAUCAAUAGAACCCAAACUGAGUGCAUUCUCUGUGUGGCAGAAGAAAAUUACAUACAAAAGGAGUUAGGGAAUUGUUGUAAAAGCACAGGAAUGAGAUUAGUAGCUAAUCUAUUAUAGCUAUGAGACUUUUAAAAACAUAUUAGGGAAAUACAAAGGCAUAAUCAGAUGACUAAAGAUAAUGACAUACAAUUUUCAAGGGAGUUAAACACAUGAAACUCU